AAUAUUAUGGAAUGUCAUUUUGUUUCCUUCCUGCUUGUAAGCAAAUCUUUUUACUUCUGUUUUUUCUCUUGUUUUUCACUGCAAGUUGACAGCCAGAAAGGAUGUUAACGUAUAGUUCUAGUGAGACCAGAGAUGAAGCAACUGCUGGAAGGACAGCUUCUGGAUUUCACAAGUGGCAGCUCAGCCUUAACAUUUUGAAGGAAACAAAAUAAAGGCACAGAAAACUCACUUCUGUCAAUCCUGCCCUAUAUAAAUACGUCAUGUUGAAAUUCUACUUCUAUCUGCAUCCUAAAUUAUGCUGAAAGGCAAAAGUGAUUCGUAGAACAUCACUUGCAUAAACUAUGAGAGUGUGACAAAUGAUGCAUUGCCUAAGUCAUCUCUGUUGGUAUUUUCAGCAGUGCAACAAGCCAAAAACAAACAACCCCGGGAUCCGGGAUCAGUGACUGGAAAUGGCUUCUCUAAUCUAUCUGGUCAAUAUCGUGACUUAUUAACCAGAGGGGUCUUUAGGCCAAUUCAGCUUUAUUUCUCAUAGGAAAAGUGAAGUAACUUCUCCACAAGGGAUUACAACCUUGUGUUCUUUUUUAAACAGUUAAGAAGGGACAGAUGUGUGGAAAAGGAUCUGAAAAUACAAGUGAAUGGCAAUCUGGAUAUCAGCCAGUAAUGUACCUUCAUAUCCCAGUGUAGAACAAAUGAAGUUAAUGACAGAGCCUUCAUUUGAGAAACAGGCGCUAGAGGAAAAGAUAUAAAAAAAAAAUGUACUCACUCCUCCCAGUAACAGUUUGGAGAAAGGGACGAGCUGAGGAAUGUGACCCUCCUCUGUUCAUACCGUUGCGCCACCAGAGAGAAGAGUGGGGGCAAAGGGAGACCCGUGCAGACUCAGAUUGCACAGGAAGUAUCACAGAGACAGAGGGGGUGGCUCCAGACCCCCCAGCUCCAGGUUCAGGCUGUGACCUUGGAAUUCCACUAUACCCAGAAAGCGAACUGUAUCCUGGGCUCCAUCAAGAGAAGAGUGGCCAGCAGACCCAGGGUGAUCCUGCCCCUCUACUCUGCACUGGUGAGGCCUCACCUAGAGUACCAUGUCCAGACGUGGAGUCCAUAGCACAGGAGAGACAUGGACCUGCUGAAGUGCAUCCAGAGAAGGGCCACAAAAAUGAUCCACAGAAUGGAACAUCUCUCUUAUGAGGACAGGCUGAGAGAGCUGGGGCUGUUCAGCCUGGAGAAGAGAAGGCUGUGAUGUGACCUGAUAGACCUCAUUAUCUAAAGGGGGAAUAUGAGAAAGAAGGAGACAGACUCUUUAGCAGGGUCUGUGGUGAUAGGACAAAGGGAAAUGAUUUCAAAUUAAAGAGGAGAGAUUUAGAUUGGACAUAAGGCAUAUGCUUUUUUUACAAUAAGGGUGUUGAGGCAUUGGACAAAAUUGCCCAGAGAUGCUGCGUCCCUGGUGAUAUUCAAGGUCAGGCUGGACGGGGCUCUGAGCAACCUGAACUAGCUGCAGACGUUCCUGUUCAUUGCCAGGGAGUUGUACUAGAUGACCUAUAAAGGUUGCUUCCAACUCAAAUGAUUCUGUGAUUCCAUGAUUCUAUGAAAUAUAUUAGGAUAUAUUUUAGAGUGCUUGAGAAUCACAUAUACCUGCAGCUGUGUAGGAAAUGGCAAACCUACAGAUCAGCAAAGUCAGAGUAUGCUGGUCUUAUAUUAUAAAAACAUUAACUUUGUCUAAAAUUAACCUAAACUUGAAAUGUAGCAGUGUACACAUUCAUCUCAAACCCUUUCUUGCCUUGUAUGCUUUCCUGAGCAAAUAAACCUAAAU
ensembl:lncRNA